GUGACUGCGUACCUUUUGUAUAAUGGGUCAGCGACUUAUAUUCUGUAGCAAGGUUAACCGAAUAGGGGAGCCGGAGGGAAACCGAGUCUUAACCGGGCGUUAAGUUGCAGGGUAUAGACCCGAAACCCGGUGAUCUAGCCAUGGGCAGGUUGAAGGUUGGGUAACACUAACUGGAGGACCGAACCGACUAAUGUUGAAAAAUUAGCGGAUGACCUGUGGCUGGGGGUGAAAGGCCAAUCAAACCGGGAGAUAGCUGGUUCUCCCCGAAAGCUAUUUAGGUAGCGCCUCGUGAAUUCAUCUCCGGGGGUAGAGCACUGUUUCGGCUAGGGGGCCAUCCCGGCUUACCAACCCGAUGCAAACUGCGAAUACCGGAGAAUGUUAUCACGGGAGACACACGGCGGGUGCUAACGUCCGUCGUGAAGAGGGAAACAACCCAGACCGCCAGCUAAGGUCCCAAAGUCAUGGUUAAGUGGGAAACGAUGUGGGAAGGCCCAGACAGCCAGGAUGUUGGCUUAGAAGCAGCCAUCAUUUAAAGAAAGCGUAAUAGCUCACUGGUCGAGUCGGCCUGCGCGGAAGAUGUAACGGGGCUAAACCAUGCACCGAAGCUGCGGCAGCGACACUGUGUGUUGUUGGGUAGGGGAGCGUUCUGUAAGCCUGUGAAGGUGUGUCGUGAGGCAUGCUGGAGGUAUCAGAAGUGCGAAUGCUGACAUAAGUAACGAUAAAGCGGGUGAAAAGCCCGCUCGCCGGAAGACCAAGGGUUCCUGUCCAACGUUAAUCGGGGCAGGGUGAGUCGACCCCUAAGGCGAGGCCGAAAGGCGUAGUCGAUGGGAAACGGGUUAAUAUUCCCGUACUUGGUGUUACUGCGAAGGGGGGACGGAGAAGGCUAUGUUGGCCGGGCGACGGUUGUCCCGGUUUAAGCGUGUAGGUGUGUGUUCCAGGUAAAUCCGGUUCACUUUAACACUGAGGCGUGACGACGAGGCACUACGGUGCUGAAGCAACAAAUGCCCUGCUUCCAGGAAAAGCCUCUAAGCAUCAGGUAACAUCAAAUCGUACCCCAAACCGACACAGGUGGUCAGGUAGAGAAUACCAAGGCGCUUGAGAGAACUCGGGUGAAGGAACUAGGCAAAAUGGUGCCGUAACUUCGGGAGAAGGCACGCUGACACGUAGGUGAAGUGAUUUACUCAUGGAGCUGAAGUCAGUCGAAGAUACCAGCUGGCUGCAACUGUUUAUUAAAAACACAGCACUGUGCAAACACGAAAGUGGACGUAUACGGUGUGACGCCUGCCCGGUGCCGGAAGGUUAAUUGAUGGGGUCAGCGCAAGCGAAGCUCCUGAUCGAAGCCCCGGUAAACGGCGGCCGUAACUAUAACGGUCCUAAGGUAGCGAAAUUCCUUGUCGGGUAAGUUCCGACCUGCACGAAUGGCGUAAUGAUGGCCAGGCUGUCUCCACCCGAGACUCAGUGAAAUUGAACUCGCUGUGAAGAUGCAGUGUACCCGCGGCAAGACGGAAAGACCCCGUGAACCUUUACUAUAGCUUGACACUGAACAUUGAGCCUUGAUGUGUAGGAUAGGUGGGAGGCUUUGAAGUGUGGACGCCAGUCUGCAUGGAGCCGACCUUGAAAUACCACCCUUUAAUGUUUGAUGUUCUAACGUGGACCCGUUACCCGGGUUGCGGACAGUGUCUGGUGGGUAGUUUGACUGGGGCGGUCUCCUCCUAAAGAGUAACGGAGGAGCACGAAGGUUGGCUAAUCCUGGUCGGACAUCAGGAGGUUAGUGCAAUGGCAUAAGCCAGCUUGACUGCGAGCGUGACGGCGCGAGCAGGUGCGAAAGCAGGUCAUAGUGAUCCGGUGGUUCUGAAUGGAAGGGCCAUCGCUCAACGGAUAAAAGGUACUCCGGGGAUAACAGGCUGAUACCGCCCAAGAGUUCAUAUCGACGGCGGUGUUUGGCACCUCGAUGUCGGCUCAUCACAUCCUGGGGCUGAAGUAGGUCCCAAGGGUAUGGCUGUUCGCCAUUUAAAGUGGUACGCGAGCUGGGUUUAGAACGUCGUGAGACAGUUCGGUCCCUAUCUGCCGUGGGCGCUGGAGAACUGAGGGGGGCUGCUCCUAGUACGAGAGGACCGGAGUGGACGCAUCACUGGUGUUCGGGUUGUCAUGCCAAUGGCACUGCCCGGUAGCUAAAUGCGGAAGAGAUAAGUGCUGAAAGCAUCUAAGCACGAAACUUGCCCCGAGAUGAGUUCUCCCUGAGACUUAGAGUCUCCUGAAGGAACGUUGAAGACGACGACGUUGAUAGGCCGGGUGUGUAAGCGCAGCGAUGCGUUGAGCUAACCGGUACUAAUGAACCGUGAGGCUUAACCUUACAACGCCGAAG
rnacentral:rRNA from 2 species